rnacentral:lncRNA from 1 species
UAGCAAAAACCUAUUUUUAUAUUAUAUUUAGAUCAUAAUGCAUAGAUACUGAUUGCAUGUUUGUACUAAUUUAUCCCUUUCUAUUUACUGGAUUCGGAAAAAAUGAUGCUAUAUCUGUUCAUGCAUACCACCUAUUGUUAAAUUGUUUACUAGAAAAGACACAGAUCUAUAGAGAGCUCAACAACCUAUCGCAUGCCUUACGUCGGGCUGAACCACCAAGUGUGUGUCGCCUGCGUCCGGCUCGACAACAAGACCGACAACCUUGACAAGGUCGGCUUCGCCACCGACGACCUCAAGGAUGCCGAGCCGAGCGUAUGUUACGCCGCUCCCUUCUCAUUUUCAUACUACAUACCUACCAGAGAAGAUGGCGAAGAUCAUUUGGUGAAGAACGCUUUGAGAACCACUGCGAUGGAUGAUGGACCCGCGCCAGUGUACGAUCACCAUAUUGGUCUUGGCGGCCAGUUCCACUAGGAGAACCACUAGCCAGCACAAUUGGAUAUUGGAGAACCACUAACCAGGGUGUUUGGAUAUUGGAGAACCAGACACACUUUAUGUGCAUCGAUAUGGAUCCUCUCAGCAUCGUCGUCCAUGUCUACAAUGGUACAUCUCAUAGCCCCCGGUCACACCUUCUCUGAAACACAAUAGUGCAUUAUGAAGGUAAUCAGAUUGAUGCGUGAAAUAUAGGAACAACUUACUGUACCUGGAGAGAUCAAGUUAUAGAUUGUGUUUCUAUAGUGGCAUCAUUAGUUACUUACCGGGUUCCUGCAAAUUUGUUUGUGGCACAACCCAUCAGUAUGUGGAGCAAAAAGAAGUAGCAAACGGGCCACUAUGGUCUAGAUAGGAAGGUCAGCAUUCUUGAAUGGAAGUAAAAAAAAACUAUUGUAAGACUGAGAUGCUUAAUGUUUGUUGUCAUCCAUUAGCAGAUCAGGUGUGGUUAGAAAAUAUUUUAAAUCUUCCACACUUCUGCUAUUUCUAGACGUCCUUGAUUAAUUCCAAUCUGUUAAUGCAUAAAGCUUUAGCCCCUUGGGACAUAAUAUAUGUCAUUUCGUACAAUUUAGGCAAUAGAAUAUUCGCUUAGAACAAAGAUUGAUCAGGUAAUCUCAUCAUUUUUUAAUAUGAUGUGACAACAUGCUUGAAAUCCUGAAACUUCAGUGUCCCAUCUUCAGUCUGUAAAGUCAAUUUUGUGUGUUCUAUAACAGAUGAUUGUGUGUCUUCAACUUUUCAGGCAACAGUGUUACGUUUGACGACAGUCUUAUAUUCUGGGAUGGAGAACUUUAACGACAAGUUUGCUGAAAGGUUUAUGCCUGAUUACCGAGGUAGGUACUCGACCGUAACACUGUAGGUAUAUAUCUCUAUUUUCUUGCGUGUAGUGAUGGAUACUCCAUACUAGGUACUCGCCGAUAUAUCAGUUAACAAGAGAAAAUAGACUAUAUAUACAUAAGCGUGUUGUGCACGCGCAGCUUGCACUUGUAUUUCGCCUUUUUAUUUUUUUUUCAUUUGAAUGAGAGGAUAUUGUUUGGCUGUGUGCAUCUUAACUAUGCAGAGACCGGGUGUAAUGUUUAAAUCUUUUAAGUAAUAAAGCGCCCCUUUUCAAAAAAAAUGUGUAAGUUGUGCAUACAAACACAUAAGAUGGAAGAGAGAAAAGAAAAUCGGUAUUAAUGCUUCUCCAUCCGCACAUAUAUAUUUGUAAAUAAUAAUUAUGCCAGGUUCUCUUAUAUGAAUGCUUCCUUUAUAUUAUUGCCUCUUUUUUUUCCAAAAAAUGGGUUGUGAUGUUGAUCUAUGUAAAGCAGUGUGCGCAGAAGUUGGAUAGUGGAAAGAUGGCCAUGCUGGAAAAAAUCACAAAGUGAAAAGAAAAAUGAUUUCUGCUUUCAAAUUAUCAUAAUAAAAGUUGUUAAUCUCCACUACCCAGAAGAACCAAGAAAGAAUUCCUUAUUUAAACCGUUUUAAAUUUUGUUUCCCUAUUUGACACCGACAAACUUUUUCUUCCUUAUCUAUCCCUGAGUCUAAAUUUUAUUCCCUUUAUAACACUUCUAUCCAUUUUCUCGUCUAACACUGUUAAAUUGCAUGUAAAAAGACAUUUUUGUCCUCACGUAAUACUAUGAACCAAUUGCCUAGCCCGGUCAUUUCGAAAAGUGCAAUUUAUACGAAUAUUCGGGUAUGUACAUUCGCUUGCCGGCCUCAUGAGUGUGUCUCGUGAGGCGUCUGCUAAUCAUCUGGCAAAUCACGUUUUAGCGCGCAUCCGGGAUAGAAAACAGUCGCUCCUAGUCCGUAGGCACAUGCAGUGGCGGCAGAGACCUGUGGCGUGGCAUAUAAAACAGUCUUUCCUGAUCCCUACUCACAUCCAGUGUGGGGGAUGCCUGUGCUGCAUGUAUUCGAAUUUUCAAAGGAAAAAAUCUCAUUGACUGGCAGCAUAUGCUUGCGUUGCAUGCAAAGCCUCACAAAGAAACACACACACACACAGUGGCAGCGCUAGCAGUAGAGAAAGGCAGCCGUCAUUCACAGCAUGCCGCACUAGUUAAAUGCACGGUUGCCAAAUUUACAAGUACUUACUUGUAGAAUUCAAGUGAUUAUUGGUAAAUUACAGAAACACAUCACAUCAAAUUUUAUUUUUUACAGAAACACAUGUCGGUCAGCCCUAUAGCCUAGCCUAUACCGUCAUAUUGUAUUACAAAGUAUAUUUUCCCACUAAUCAAUUGAUCAGCCAUUGUAUGCGGUACAUGCAUUCCAUGAGUAAACUUUUAACCUGCACUUAGAAAAAUUGUUCGUGUCUAUAAAUAAAAUUUCUGGUUAAAUCAAAUAAGCAGGAAAAAACACAAAAAUCAAUAUCGUCAUCUAUUAAAAUUUUGGUCACAAUCCACCUGAGAGGCAAAAGGGUCUUUUUAAGUGACAUUUAACACCGUUAAGGCUUAAAAUGGACGGAAGUGUUAUAAAGGGCAUAAAAUUUAGACGCGGUAUUAUAUAAGGAAGAAAAGUAUUUUCAGUGUCAAAUAGGGAAAGAAAUUUUAAGACAGUGUUAAAUAAGGAAUUCUCUCAAGAACCAAUUGGAAAGGAUCUCAAAUAAAUCAUAGGUGGGUUUAUGCACUUCUUCAUUCAGGUUAAGUCAUCAUGGGUUGUUGAGAAAAAAAUUUAGAGCCAUGCAAGAGGUCUCAUGAGCAAGUCAAGCUAAAUAUUUAAUAUUAUUCAAUAGCCAUUAUUUCCAUUUGAGUUGUGUCCAAACUUGAAUCUUUGAGUUACUAGGUUAUUAGAGUAAGUAGAGAAUGGAAUAUAUGUAGGACCAUCAGUAUACAUGCUUCUUCUUGACUACUUAUGUGGUUAUUGAUGUCUACUAUUAUAUAAAUGAUUUAUUUCUCCUAUUGCCUCCUUUUCAAGACUGAUUUAUUUCUCUUAUUGCUUCCUUUUCAAGACAUUUUUUAACCCGGGGAACAAAAUGGCCCUACUGUAUAAUUCAUUUUCAAGAACUGCUUAUGGUCUUAAUACAAGUGCAUAUCUAUGUAUGCCUCACAAUUUUAGUGGUAACCUACUAAUUAUUUAUUAUUUUCCCCAUAUUUGUACUAGCAUAUACAAUGUACUUUGUUUGGUUCUUUUGUAGAUUAAUGGUACCUUAUCUCAUCAACACAGUGCCUGAUGGCAUAAGUGAUACAUUGAGCAACCAUGGCAGAUGAACAUGACGUACAUGUUUUAGUAAUUUAUAUUGACAUUUAGUAGAUUUCCAUACUGCUUUAUGUGAGCAAAGUUAGAUUGUAUGAUCCAACAUUUUGGGUUUGCAUUGGUAUGUCUGCUCACACAUAUACUUACAUUUUUACAAUUUCACUAACUUGUUACUGUAGUAUCUACCUCACUGAAAGUGCAACUAUCCCUAGGUGGUUUUGGUAAUUCAUAACAACAUAUAGCUCAUUGAGCUAAUAUUAUUCCAAGACAAUUAUUUCAGGGAAGCUCAAUGAUUGGCAUGGCAUGGAUGUGAAAGUGGAACCCUCAAAAUGCUAAGGACAAUGGAUUGGCUCAAGCUCAAAAGCUCAAGACUCUUCAUUUUAUAUUUUAGUGAUCCAAGAUCACAUUGAGUCCAUAGGAAAAGCCAAUACUAUUAAGGAGGGAUGAGGUGUUGCUUAAUGAGCCUCUUUCUUCAUGUGCUUAGUGAUAUGCUCCAAAAACCCUCAACUACUUUCCCAUAUCCACAUAUGACCUAAACUCUAAGCCAAACUCGGUCCUACCGAUUCUUCCUAUCCGGCGCCACCGAGUUUCACUUGUCAUUAGCCACUGCCAAACCCUAGCAAUUCGGUUCUACCGAUAAGGAUCUCGGUCCCACCGAGAUGGGGUUGCAAACUCUCUGUUUCCCUUUCGUAACUUUUCGGUCCCACCGAAAGAGCGAAUCGGUCCCACCGAGAUUGCAAUGUAAACUCAGUGUUUCCCCUUUGUAACUUUUCGGUCUCACUGAGUUCCACUCGGUCUCACCGAAAGAGCAAAUCGGUUCCAUCGAGUUUUCCUAACCAACUCUUUGGUUAGCUAAUUACCAAAUUCGGUCUCACCGAGUUUGUGUAAUCGGUCUCACCGAGAUUACGUUAUGCCCAAAUCCUAACCAAAUCGGUCCUACCGAGUUGCAUGUCAGUCCCACCGAAAUUCCUAACGGUCACUAGGUUUACUAUUUCGGUCAGACCGAGUUUUCUGAUUCGGUCCCACCGAGAUUGGUAAAUUGUGUGUAACGGUUGGAUUUUGUGUGGAGGCUAUAUAUACCCCUCCACCUCUUUCUCAUUCAGUGAGAGAGCCAUCAGAACACACAUAUCAUUCCAACUCAUUUGUUCUGAGAGAGAACCACCUACUCAUGUGUUGAGACCAAGACAUUCCAUUCCUACCAUAUGAAUCUUGAUCUCUAGCCUUCCCAAGUUGCUUUCCACUCAAAUCUUCUUUCCACCAAAUCCAAAUCCUAUGAGAGAGAGUUGAGUGUUGGGGAGACUAUCAUUUGAAGCACAAGAGCAAGGAGUUCAUUACCUACACACCAUUUGUUACUUCUUGGAGAGUGGUGUCUCCUAGAUUGGCUAGGUGUCACUUGCGAGCCUCCGACAAGAUUGUGGAGUUGAACCAAGGAGUUUGUAAGGGCAAGGAGAUCGCCUACUUCGUGAAGAUCUACCGCUAGUGAGGCAAGUCCUUCGUGGGCGAUGGCCAUGGUGGGAUAGACAAGGUUGCUUCUUCGUGGACCCUUUGUGGGUGGUUGCUUCUUCAUGGACCCUUCGUGGGUGGAGCCCUGUGUGGACUCGCGCAACCGUUGCCCUUGGGUGGAGCCCUGUGUGGACUCGCGCAACCGUUACCCUUCGUGGGUUGAAGUCUCCAUCAACGUGGAUGUAGGAUAGCACCACCUAUCCGAACCACGGGAAAAACAUCCGUGUCUCCAAUAGCGUUUGACUUCUCCAAACCCUUCCCAUUACAUUAUCGCAAGUUGCAUGCUUUACUUUCCGCUGCCAAUAUACUCUUUGCAUGCUUGCUUGAAUUGUGUGAUGAUUACUUGACUUGUCCUAAAAUAGCUAAAAUCUGCCAAGAACUUAAAUUGGGAAAAUGUUAAGUUUUUAUUUGGUCAAGUAGUCUAAUCACCCCCCCUCUAGACAUACUUUCGAUCCUACAAGUGGUAUCAGAGCUUUGGUCUCCAUUUGCUUGAUCUCCAUAGCUUUUGGUGGUCAUAGACUUGGUUUCACAACCUAGGAGAGUAUGGCGUCUAGCGAGGGAAAUUAUCACCGUAGAGGUCCUUACUUUGAUGGUACUAAUUUUGCUAGUUGGAAGCAUAAAAUGAAAAUGCAUAUUCUUGGACAUAACCCCGCUAUUUGGGCUAUUGUGUGUGUUGGUUUGCAAGGUGACUUCUUUGAUGGGAAAGAACCAAACCAUGAGGCUACCGCGGAUGAGUUGAAGAUGUUGCAAUACAAUGCUCAAGCUUGUGAUAUUCUCUUCAACAGAUUAUGCCCAGAAGAAUUCAACAAAAUCAGCCGCCUUGAGAAUGCAAAGGAAAUUUGGGACACUUUGAUUGAUAUGCACGAAGGUACCGACUCCGUCAAGGAAUCCAAGUUGGAUGUGCUUCAAAGCCAACUUGACAAGUUCGAGAUGAAGGAUGGUGAAGGUGUCGCUGAAAUGUACUCUAGGCUUGCUCUCAUCACAAAUGAGAUUGCCGGCUUAGGAAGUGAAGAGAUGACCGAUAGAUUCAUCAUCAAGAAGAUCCUAAGAGCCUUGGAUGGAAAAUAUGAUACCGUGUGCACAUUAAUCCAAAUGAUGCCCAAUUACAAAGAUCUCAAGCCAACGGAAGUGAUUGGAAGAAUUGUUGCUCAUGAGAUGUCACUUAAGGAUAAAGAGGAACUUCACAACAAGUCAAGUGGUGCCUAUAAAGCCUCAUGUGAAGCUCCUACAUCAUCAAGUGAGAAACAAGACUUCAAUGAAGAAUUGAGCUUAAUGGUGAAGAACUUCAACAAGUUCUACAAGAGUAGAAGCAAAGAUAGAAGCUCCAAGUCAAGGUCCUACAAUGACAAAAGAUCUUCUAGUCCAGAGAGAAACUUCUACAAUUGUGGAAGACCCGGACACCAUUCCAACGAGUGUACGGCUCCCUACAAGAGAAGAGAAGAUUCUCCAAAAAGAAGAAGCAAAGGAUCACCACCAAGAGAGAGAAGGAGUAGAGAUGAUCGUUAUGAAUGAAGAUACUCACGAAGAAGCAAGGAUUCAGAAAGGAAGGAAAAAUCAUCAAGGAGCUACACAAGACGAAGACAUCAAGCUCAUGUUGGUGAAUGGGUAUCUGGCUCCGACUCCGACAGCCACUUCGAGAGAAGUUAUCACUCCGACUCCGAAGAUACUCAAGAUGAAGGUGUUGCCGGUCUAGCACUUGUGUCAACCAACUCCUACGACAUAUUUGACUCACCAAAUGAAGGAAUUGGAAGAUGCUUCAUGGCCAAAGGUCCUAAGGUAACACACCCCGAGUAUGUUGAUUUCAAUAGUGAUGAAGAUGACUUGUUAGGUGAUGAUUUGAUUGGUGACAACUCUAGUGAUGAAUACUAUGAUGAAAAACCAAUUAAUCAUGCUAAUCAAGAUAAAACGAAUGACAAUGAUAAGGAGAAGAUUGAGGCUCUAACUAAAGAACUAAAAACUCUUAAGUUAGCUCAUGACACUAUCUUCGGAGAUCAUCGAGAACUUUUAAGAGCUCAUGAGAAGCUACGCUUUGAAAAGCUCAAUCUUGAGCAAGAGCAUGAGUUCUUAAAGGCAAUCAAUGAUGAUCUCCGCAAGAAAAGUUCUUCUUACAUUGCCAAGCGUUUACUCUUAUCCACUUACAUGCCUCAAGUCAAAUCUAACAAGAAAGAUUCUUCCGCUAGUAGUAACAAUGAUCAUGCUAAAUCCAAUAUUGUUGCUUCUAGUAGUUCUUUUGAUUCCACUAAUGAUUCUCUUAGCCAAGUUACACUUGAGCAAGAAAAUAGCUUAUUGAAGGGAAUUAUAGAGAAAGGAGUGUACAAAAGCCUUGCCGGGAGUAAGCAAUUCGAGGAAAUUGUGCGCAAGCAAGGAAUGCACCGAAAGAAUCAAGGUGUUGGUUUUGAAUGAAAGUUCAAUGCCAAUGGAGUUGAAUGGGAAGAAGAUCAAUACCCCAAGACAAAGUUUGUCCCUCAACAAGAGAAGUAUACUUCUUUCAAGGGGACACAAGCUCAAGAUGAUCUUCCACCACAAGACUACGAGCAAAAAGGCAAGGACAAGCUUCAAGAGGAAAUUGAUGCAUUUGAAGAAGCUCCUAAGACCUUAGUCAAGUGGAUUCCCAAGACUACUUCAAGUUCAACUUCAUCAAGUACGACUACAACUCCAAGGAUUCCCAUCAAGAUGACGUGGAUCCAAAAGAAGAAGAACUAGAGAGUUCUUGAGGGUGACACCGCCAACAUACUUCACUCUUAUCAUUUUGGCAAGAACAAGUGCAAUCAACUUCCACAUCUUGCACUAGUUCAAGGAGUCACAAACCCUCUUGUUGGUAAGACAAGGGACAAGGUAACCUAAAAAGUUUUCAUGGACAUCAUCUUUUGUGUGCAUCACUCUAUGUCUAUGGAUAUCCUUGUUUGUUCCUUGUGGGACUAACCCAUGUAGGUAUUGAAAGUGCAAUUCACUCAAAUGGAUAGCUCCAAGAGAUCUACAUCAACAUUGAGCAUCCACAUCUUCAAUGUCUACAUGAAGUCAUCAUCGACAAAACCCAAGGUUAGUUCAUCCCUCUUAGGGGGAUAUCACAUCUAGGGGGAGCUUUACUCUAAGACUUGAGCUAAAGCAACUCUAAAGAUGUGAACACAACAAUGCUUUAUGUAAAAGUGGUAACCCCACUUGAGCUUAAAGAUCAGUAUGACCUACGAUCAAGUGUUCUCACUUGACUCCUAAGUCAAUAUACUCAUAUAUAGAUGACCUAGUCAUCGCAAAUUGCUUGAUAGAUACUAGAAUUGGUUGUGCAUGUCUUGCCACAUAUUUCAUUUGCCAUCUUAUUGUGUGAGCAUGCUAGUUGCAUAUUUUACUCAUUCGAGGACAUCCACUUGUUGCUUUGAUUGUUCGGCUUUAUUGCCAAGUGGAUGGACAAGAAUGCCUAAGAACCUCCUCUAGCUAUCUAUGCUUUUCUCGUCUCAAACUCUAUUCAUGCUGCAUCACAAAAUUUGAUCAAGUCAGAUUCGAACCACUCUGUGUGAGGAGCGCUCGGAGUCCCCGAUUUGUCAUAGACUUAAACUUCCAAAACCUCUUUAUGAUUCUCGGUCUGACCGAUACUCCACUUUCGGUCCUACCGAGAUCAUUAAGUUGAUCUAAGUUUUCAAUCUCGGUGCAACCGAUUUGAACCUUUCGGUCUCACCGAGUUUCAGUAACUGCACGCAGUUAUGAAUCUCGGUGCCACCGAGUUGUUCCACUCGGUCACACCGACAGGGUCGGGCUAUAUAUAGUCAUGGGCAGAAUUUUGGAAAUUUCUCCGAAACCUCUUCGCCCGCGCGAUAGCCUGCUCUGCCCUCGAGGUCUCUGGAUCGUCUCCUCGCCGCCAGCAGCCUCCUGUCGCUGGUCUCCGCCGCCGUCAACGGAUUUCUGCCCCGCUGUUGCCGCCGUAGCAAGUCCACGCCAAACUAGGGUAUGGACUUGAUCUUUGUGCUAUUCCUCAAUCUGAUUCCUAGCACAUUGUGAUCAUCAUGAUUGUUGCCACGAUUGAAACACUUCUAUCCAGUCAAAACGCUUGUAGAUUAGGUUUAAUUCGAAAAUUUUAGGGUUAGGUUUCCGCCAAAACCAUCUCGGACCCACCGAGUUGAAAAACUCGGUCCCACCGAUCUGGCUUUUGCCAUUGCACAAGUGAAACUCGGUCUGACCGAGAAUAACUUAUCGGUGCGACCGAUUUUUGAAUUCAGUGAAACCCUAGCAGUCUCGGUGCCACCGAACUGUGACUUGGUCCUACCGAGUUCACUAGUUUAGGUUCCAAAACUGCUUCGGUAUCACCGAGUUUGAAAAUCGGUAGAUCCGAGAUGAUUUCAGUGGGAAACUAAAACUAAGUUUUUGGAUCAUUCUUUUUGCAAAAAUCUCUGCUUUUUGUGAUGCUCAUCCAAUCUAUCUCUUCUAUAAUCUAUUCACAGGGUCAGCAGUCAGUUUGCAGCCUGUCUGAUCAAAGUGACAGCCAGAACCUCUCAGAGCAGCAAGUUGUGAUGAGUGAGGGCACUAGCCCCUCAAGUUCUUCUGAUGAUGGCAGCAGAAGCACCCCCAGCAAUCUGCCUAAGGCUGCCACACGUCAAAGAAAGAAGAGAACGUCUGAUUCUGAAGAUGAGGACUAUGUGGCAGAGGAAGAGGCCACCUCCAAGAGAGUUGAGCCAGCUCAAGGCUCAAAGCCAGGCCUGAAAAUCAAGAGGCCAGCAGGCAGGCAACCCAUGUCAAAGGCUAGAGCUUCAACUGAGAAGCCUGCUCCCAUUGAGCCCGUUGCAGCUGAGGGCAAGAAGAGGAAAGAAAGAGUGAAGAAGACUGUAGCCAAAGUGCUUGGGAAAGCCUCCAUCAUGGUAGAAGAGGAGGAGGAAGAAGAGGCAGCUGCACCAGCGCCCAAAGCAGCCAAACUUAUGGGAGAUGCCAUAAGGUCAGGGGGAGCUGCAUCCAAGCCCAAGGAAGCACCUAAGGCUGCAUCUAAGACUAAGCCCAAGAGGAACACACGGAGCAUUCCUGCAGCUGAGAAGAACAAGGCCCCAGUGCCUGAGACUGUUGCUGAGGAUGAGGAAGAGAAUGUCCUUCGGAAGCUCAAGCCCAAGAUCCCAGACCACAACGAUGCUCAUCCUGUGGCUGAGGAUAUGAAGCUCAGGAGAGACUCAGGGCUCAGGAAAUGGAGAGAAGCAGAUCCAUAUGCUUCUAGGAGAAGGACUGCCGUGGAUUACAGAUUUCACACCAAGGAGGAACAAGAUUUCUAUGAGACUGUUUUGCUUGACAAGAAGCCAAUCGUUUGUGACAUGAGAUGGGUCGACUGGACCUAUAUCAAGGAGAAUGAAGAGUACUACCCAGGAGUAUUUGACAGCUUUAGUGCUUGUGGAGUAGCUGACUUUGUUGGGCAGAAGCUCACAACGUGGAACGAGGAACUUAUCAUGCAAUUCUACUCCACAACACACUUUUAUCCGGAUGGCAGGAUCACAUGGAUGUCAGAAGGUACAAGGUACAACUCUACUGUUGAGGAAUGGGCGAAGCUAAUCAAUGCCCCAGAGGAGCAAGCAGAUGACUUGGACAUUUAUGCCAAGAAAAAGAUGGACCACAACUCAAUGUCCAACAUGUACAAGGAGAUCCCCAAUGAAGCACUUGACACAUUCAAGUUUGGCUCAGUGCAUUGUCUGCUCUCAGGAUUGCCUACUAUCAAUUGGAUACUAAGGCACACUCUGUUGCCUAAGUCUGGAGAUCACAAGAUGAUCAGAGGUCACGCGAUCAAUUUGCUACAUGUGUUUGAUGUGCCUCAGAAAUUCAAGGUCAUGAGUCUCAUUGUGGAAACCGUUAAGAGGACAGCUGCAGAUCAGAAGAGGAGCUGUGGAUAUGCCCCUCAGAUUCAGGAGCUCAUCAAUUCCAAGAUGGGCACGGGCGUAUAUUUGUUGGAUAAUGAACACCUGCCCAUCCGUCCAGAUUUCGAGGACAAUGAAGUUGUGAUGACAGAGAAUGAGCCAUCGUCUGCACAAGCAUUUGCAAAGAAGGAGAAGGCGAAGAAGGAAAAAGCUGCCAGGAUGCCUACUCAAGAGGAGGCAUCUGACUAUUUCUUGAAGACCAAGCAAGAGCAGCUCGGUUACUUGAUUGCAUCCAUGCUGAGAAUUGAGCAAAGUUUGGAAAACCUCACUAAAAAUCAGCAGAGCCUAGAGAGGAUCAUGGAACAGAAGUUCUAUGACUUGGACGUCAAGGUAAUAGAAGUACAGUCUGCAGUGGAGCAGCUCCAGGAGGACAUGAAUGAGAGGAGAGGCAGGACCACGACUCAUGCUUUUUCUAGAGUGCCACGAGGCCCGAGGUCGUCUGCCGUGCCAGUUGCUGACACUAGAGCCACCACUUCAGCACUAGCUAUAGCCUCAGCUCCAGCAUCUACUUCAGCUCCAACUCCAGCGACUACUUCAACAUCUACAGAAGCCUUCGUCCUUGGAGUGAUCCGGACUCCACCACCUGUCACAUCCCUAGUUCUGGCCUGUCCUAUGCUUGCUUCCAUCUGAGCAUCAUGUUUAAAUUUUUGAAACCUGAACUGAGGAGGUCAGAAGCCUCAAAACCCUAAAUAAAAGAAGGGCAAAACCCCUAAAAUCUCAUUCAUUGUUCCAAAAUGUUCUUCUUAGAUGUUUAAUAUUUUUGGCAAGGGUUUUGAUCUAAACCAAAAAUAAUGAACAUUUUUAAGGAUUUAUUUUUGGGACUUUGAAUUUAAUUCAUUAGCUAUUUGAAUUUGAAUUAUAUUCAUAUAAUUAGAAUAUAAUUUCAAAUAUCCCUGAAUUAUUUUAUAAGCUUAUGGAAAAGUCCAUCUAGCAAUAUAAAAUAUUCAGAGGAGUUUUUGGCAUUGUUUGAAUUAUUUUGAAUUCAAAACAGUGGCAAAAUAAAUUAAAUAAAACAAAGCAGAAGAAAAAAAUAAAACAGAGCAGAAAGCCACCUGGGCCACUUACCCGCAGCCUACCUGGCGCCACCAACCGGCCCAGCCGGCCCAGCCCGCCACCGCUACUUCCCCUCCCCUGUCGUCUUCCUCUUGCCAGUGGGAGCAGCUGCGUGCUCGCACGCGCGCGGCCGAGGAGGCCACCUCCUCCCUGCCUGGCUGCCUCCUCCUUCCCUGGUCCCUCCCGCGACGCCACGCAGCCCCGACCCCUUCUCACUUCUCCCUCGCUCUCUGGACCUCCCUCCCCCUCGCUCUCUCCCUCUCCCUUGUUUCUCUCCUCUGCUUCCUCUCUCUCACUCGCCCGAGCGCAGCCGCAGCCGCGCCACCGUAACGCCGCGGCCACCGUCUCCCCCUCGACCCCUCGUUGUGCUUGCGAGCUCCGCCUCGACCCCCUCUUCCUCCCCACCGAUCCACGGCCCUCCGGAAGCCCUGCAUCGCCGCCCACGUCGCCGUUCCCCUCCUCGGCCACCGGAGAUCGUCGCCGUCGAUUCGCUGCACUCCGGCCGCCCCCGAGCCCACUAACCCUCCCUACAGCUCCGCGGUGAGCCUCCGUGCAGAACCCCUCUCUCUCCCCUCGCGUUUGCGAGCUCUAGGCCAUAGCUCCGCCGCGGCCGAACUCCGGCCGCCGCUGACCUCGUCACCGCCGUCACUACAGCCGCUUGAGCUCGUCUCGGAGCGUGUCACCGCACUCAGGAAGCCACCAGGAGCCUAACGCAUAUCCUAACUCGCCCUUCCGUGCACCACAGCGCCAACCCCGCACUCACCGAACUCCGGCGCCGCCGCGAGCUCGAUUCCGGCGAGCCCGUUCGACCUCAGCCCCUCCCGCUUGCCUAGAUGGAUGCGGCUGAGCGCCAGCUACGCGUAGAUGAUCGCUGCCGCUGUUUUGGUCGCCGGAGGAGGAAUUCCGACCCCCUCCGCCGUCUCUGACUCCGCCGGCGACGAGCCGCGGGUCAACUCCGGCGAGUUGACCCGGGGUUUGACCCCCCUGACGUGUGGGCCCAGGCGCCUGCUUGAUUAGUGUUAGAUUAGUUAGCACUAAUUAACCUAGCUAAUUAGGUAGGCCACUGACAUGCGGGCCCCGCCCGGCUAACUAAGUUAGUUAGGGCUAACUAACUUGGUUAGUUGACUGGGUCACUGACCAGUGGACCCCACUGGUCAGGUUUGACCUGGUCGACGCCUUUGACCUGCUGACGUCACCCCGGCGUCAUGCUGACGCAAUAUUCCUUUUCUAGAAUUUAGUUUAUUUUAUAAAUAAUCAGAAAAUCCAGAAAAUUGUAUAAACUUCUAAAAUUCAUAGAAAUUCAAUCGUAACUCCAAAUUAAAUAAUUUAUAUAUGAAAAAUUAUCAGAAAAAUUCAAGGAAUCCAUCUGUACCAUUUUCAUGCAUGUUAGAACAACUUAUAGCUGCUGUUUAGCACAAAUCAUAUAAAGGGCAUUUAUUUAAUCACAUAUGGAGUUUGAAUUUGAAUUUUAUAUUCAAACCAACUUCAUUUAAUCUGUUGCUAGUUGCAUUAGCUCAAAACACAUUCAUAUUGCCAUGUCAUGAGCAUGCAUCAUAUUGUGCAUUGCAUUGAUUGUGUUCCUUUCUGUGUUGCCGGUAUUUGUCCCCUCUCGAUAGACGCGAUACCGACGAUGUGAUCGUUGACACUGAUGAAGACUCAAUGUUAUCUUCAGAAGUGCCAGGCAAGCAAAACCCCCUUGUUCAUUCCGAUACAAUCCCACUCUCUCGCUCCUGCUCUCUUUUACUGCAUUAGGACAACAACGACAUAUUUGUUACUUGCUGCGGUAGCUGAACCCCUUUAUCCUUUGCAUGACCUGUCAUUGCCACAGUAAAUAGAUGAAACCCACUAGCAUGAGUAGGAGUUGUUUGAGCCCUGAUGUGCCUACUCAUUCAUGCUUGUUUGUCAUGCCUGCUACUGCUUAGAGUUGUGUCAGGUCUGAUUCAUCCGGGAUGAAUCAGAGGUGUGUGAACAUGUCCUACUGUGUGUGAGCUAAGUGUGUGAACACGAUUUGGUAAAAGGUGUCGGUGAGAGGCCAUGUAGGAGUACAUGGUGGGUUGUCUCAUUGAAGCCGUCCUCAGGAACUGAGUUCUGUGUUUGUGAUCCAUGAUUCAGCUACUACCAUACAUUGGGCCCUGAAAUAUGACCCCGCUCGACUUCUUAUUCACCCUAGUCCUCUGUCCAGGAGUUGCAAGUAGUUUCUGGUGUUUGUAGUAUGCUGGAGGCCGUGGACAGCGCUGACCGUAGGGGUGGGCUGUGAUGCGGUAGGCACGUGGCCGGGUAUACCGAGCGCCCAUUUGGUGUCACGGAACCCUGUUCACAUCGUUUGGGGCUGUGAGCGAAACUCCGGCCGGAUCUCCUCAUGGAUGGAACCCGAAUAGGCGAUAAACCUGGACUAGAGACUUGAGUGUUUAGGUAGGUCGUGGUCUACACCCACGUCGGCUUUCGCUUGAAGUCUGCCGAGCACAUGUCGUGUGCAGACGCUAAGUGGUGGAAACAUGUAUGAAGAAGUACACCCCUGCAGGGUUAACAUCAUCUAUUCGAAUAGCCGUGUCCGCGGAAAAGGACUUCUGGGUUGCUUAUAUCAGUUCAUAGACAAGUGAAAGUGGAUACUCUAAAAUACGCAAGAUAAGCGUGAGUGCUAUGGAUGGCGUUCUCGUAGGGAGACGGGAGCGGAUCCAUAGUGGUGUAUUGAUAUGGUGAAUAUGUGGACUCGUGUGCGCCACCUCAAAAGAGUUACAUUGCAGUCGUAGUUCAGGAUAGCCACCGAGUCAAAGCUGGCUUGCUGCAGUUAAACCCCACCAUCCCCUUUGUUGAUAAUGAUGCAUAUGUAGUUAGUUCUGAUGUAAGUCUUGCUGGGUACAUUUGUACUCACGUUUGCCUAUUUUAUGUUUUUGCAGAGAGACUUCGGUCUCACUAGUAGUUUCGCGUGGACUUCGACGUUUAUCUUGUUACCUCAGCUACGAUCUUGUGCCCUCGGCAGGAUCUGGUAGAUAGUCAGGCUUCUCAGCCUUUUUCAUUUCUAGAUGUCUGUACUCAGACAUGAUAGCUUCCGCUUGUGCUUUGACUUGUAUGCUCUGAAUGUUGGGUCGUGAGACCCCUGUUUGUAAUAUCUCGCUCCUCGGAGCCUAUUGAAUAAAUUACUUGAGUCGUAGAGUCAUGUUGUGAUGCCAUGUUGUAUUUGCACAUAUCGAGCAUAUUGUGUGUAUGUUAUUGAAAUGCUUGGUAUGUGUGGGAUCUGACUAUCUAGUUGUUUAUCUUUAGUAGCCUCUCUUAUCGGGAAAUGUCUCCUAGUGUUUCCACCGAGCCAUGGUAGCUUGCUACUGCUCCGGAACACUUAGGCUGGCCGGCAUGUGUCCUUCUUCGUUCCUGUGUCUGUCCCUUCGGGGAAAUGUCACGCGAUGAAUACCGGAGUCCUGUUAGCCCGCUACAGCCCGGUUCACCGGAGUCCUGCUAGCCCAGUGCUACAGCCUGGAUUCACUCGCUGAUGACCGACACGUUCGAUGCUGGGUCAUGGAUGCCUGUCCCUGUAAGUCUGUGCCACUUUGGGUUUACGACUAGCCAUGUCAGCCCGGGCUCCUUAUCAUAUGGAUGCUAGCGACACUGUCAUAUACGUGUGCCAAAAGGCGCAAACGGUCCCAGGGAAAGGUAAGGCGACACCCGUGGGGAUACCGUGCGUGAGGCCGCAAAGUGAUAUGAUAUGUUACAUGCUAGAUCAAUGUGGUACUGAGUCGGGGUCCUGACACCACCACCUGAAGAUCAAGCCUGAGCGUCGAUUUAGCACUAUGCAUUUUCUAGGAACUUUUUGGUAACUUGUUGCCAAAGGGGGAGAAGAUGUAUAGAUCAUAGGCUUCGAGAGAGAGAGAGAGUGUUGCUUUUCUCUCUUGCUUUAUUUGGUGGUUUUUCGAACCUUUUCUGCUUUUGAGUGCUUGAUGCUACGUCCUUAUGCUUGUGAGACAUCGAUGAUCAUGUGUUUGAUCAUAAGCUACACUUAAUGUUUGCUUAAUGCUUGCUUAAAUAUUACCAUUCUAUCUAUCGUUUGUGAUCAUUCACUAUUGGUGAUGAGUGCAUGUGUUUCAUUCUUAUCAUUUUGAGCACUCCACCAAGAUGUAUGUGACAUGGAAGAGUAACCCAUGACUCUAACUCUUUGUGCAUUUGCAGUCCAAAGCAAAUUUUAAAUAUGCACAAAUUUAGGGGGAGCUCUUACUUAUCACAUACUUCUCAAAGCGACGAUAUAUUUCAUGCUUAUUAUCUUUUGUCGAAGCUUUGAUCUAUAUGUUGUCAUCAAUUACCAAAAAGGGGGAGAUUGAAAGUGCAACUAUCCCUAGGUGGUUUUGGUAAUUCAUAACAACAUAUAGCUCAUUGAGCUAAUACUAUUCCAAGACAAUUAUUUCAGGGAAGCUCAAUGAUUGGCAUGGCAUGGAUGUGAAAGUGGAAUCCUCAAAAUGCUAAGGACAAUGGAUUGGCUCAAGCUCAAAAGCUCAAGACUCUUCAUUUUAUAUUUUAGUGAUCCAAGAUCACAUUGAGUCCAUAGGAAAAGCCAAUACUAUUAAGGAGGGAUGAGGUGUUGCUUAAUGAGCCUCUUGCUUCAUGUGCUUAGUGAUAUGCUCCAAAAACCCUCAACUACUUUCCCAUAUCCACAUAUGACCUAAACUCUAAGCCAAACUCGGUCCUACAGAUUCUUCCUAUCCGGCGCCACCGAGUUUCACUUGUCAUUAGCCACUGCCAAACCCUAGCAAUUCGGUUCUACCGAUAAGGAUCUCGGUCCCACCGAGAUGGGGUUGCAAACUCUCUGUUUCCCUUUCGUAACUUUUCGGUCCCACCGAAAGAGCAAAUCGGUCCCACCGAGAUUGCAAUGUAAACUCAGUGUUUCCCCUUUGUAACUUUUCGGUCUCACCGAGUUCCACUCGGUCUCACCGAAAGAGCAAAUCGGUCCCACCGAGUUUGCCUGACCAACUCUCUGGUUAGCUAAUUACCAAAUUCGGUCUCACCGAGUUUGUGUAAUCGGUCUCACCGAGAUUACGUUAUGCCCAAACCCUAACCGAAUCGGUCCUACCGAGUUGCAUGUCAGUCCCACCGAAAUUCCUAACGGUCACUAGGUUUACUAUUUCGGUCAGACCGAGUUUUCUGAUUCGGUCCCACCGAGAUUGGUAAAUUGUGUGUAACGGUUGGAUUUUGUGUGGAGGCUAUAUAUACCCCUCCACCUCUUUCUCAUUCAGCGAGAGAGCCAUCAGAACACACAUAUCAUUCCAACUCAUUUGUUCUGAGAGAGAACCACCUACUCAUGUGUUGAGACCAGGACAUUCCAUUCCUACCAUAUGAAUCUUGAUCUCUAGCCUUCCCAAGUUGCUUUCCACUCAAAUCUUCUUUCCACCAAAUCCAAAUCCUAUGAGAGAGAGUUGAGUGUUGGGGAGACUAUCAUUUGAAGCACAAGAGCAAGGAGUUCAUUACCUACACACCAUUUGUUACUUCUUGGAGAGUGGUGUCUCCUAGAUUGGCUAGGUGUCACUUGGGAGCCUCCGACAAGAUUGUGGAGUUGAACCAAGGAGUUUGUAAGGGCAAGGAGAUCGCCUACUUCGUGAAGAUCUACCGCUAGUGAGGCAAGUCCUUCAUGGGCGAUGGCCAUGGUGGGAUAGACAAGGUUGCUUCUUCGUGGACCGUUUGUGGGUGGUUGCUUCUUCGUGGACCCUUCGUGGGUGGAGCCCUGUGUGGACUCGCGCAACCGUUGCCCUUGGGUGGAGCCCUGUGUGGACUCGCACAACCAUUACCCUUCGUGGGUUGAAGUCUCCAUCAACGUGGAUGUAGGAUAGCACCACCUAUCCGAACCACGGGAAAAACAUCCAUGUCUCCAAUAGCGUUUGACUUCUCCAAACCCUUCCCUUUACAUUCUCGCAAGUUGCAUGCUUUACUUUCCGCUGCCAAUAUACUCUUUGCAUGCUUGCUUGAAUUGUGUGAUGAUUACUUGACUUGUCCUAAAAUAGCUAAAAUCUGCCAAGAACUAAAAUUGGGAAAAGGUUAAGUUUUUAUUUGGUCAAGUAGUCUAAUCACCCCCCCUCUAGACAUACUUUCGAUCCUACAAGUGGUAUCAGAGCUUUGGUCUCCAUUUGCUUGAUCUCCAUAGCUUUUGGUGGUCAUAGCCUUGGUUUCACAACCUAGGAGAGUAUGGCGUCUAGCGAGGGAAAUUAUCACCGUAGAGGUCCUUACUUUGAUGGUACUAAUUUUGCUAGUUGGAAGCAUAAAAUGAAAAUGCAUAUUCUUGGACAUAACCCCGCUAUUUGGGCUAUUGUGUGUGUUGGUUUGCAAGGUGACUUCUUUGAUGGGAAAGAACCAAACCAUGAGGCUACCGCGGAUGAGUUGAAGAUGUUGCAAUACAAUGCUCAAGCUUGUGAUAUUCUCUUCAACGGAUUAUGCCCAGAAGAAUUCAACAAAAUCAGCCGCCUUGAGAAUGCAAAGGAAAUUUGGGACACUUUGAUUGAUAUGCACGAAGGUACCGACUCCGUCAAGGAAUCCAAGUUGGAUGUGCUUCAAAGCCAACUUGACAAGUUCAAGAUGAAGGAUGGUGAAGGUGUCGCUGAAAUGUACUCUAGGCUUGCUCUCAUCACAAAUGAGAUUGCCGGCUUAGGAAGUGAAGAGAUGACCGAUAGAUUCAUCAUCAAGAAGAUCCUAAGAGCCUUGGAUGGAAAAUAUGAUACCGUGUGCACAUUAAUCCAAAUGAUGCCCAAUUACAAAGAUCUCAAGCCAACGGAAGUGAUUGGAAGAAUUGUUGCUCAUGAGAUGUCACUUAAGGAUAAAGAGGAACUUCACAACAAGUCAAGUGGUGCCUAUAAAGCCUCAUGUGAAGCUCCUACAUCAUCAAGUGAGAAACAAGACUUCAAUGAAGAAUUGAGCUUAAUGGUGAAGAACUUCAACAAGUUCUACAAGAGUAGAAGCAAAGAUAGACUCGCGCAACCGUUACCCUUCGUGGGUUGAAGUCUCCAUCAACGUGGAUGUAGGGUUUGACUUCCUGACCACGGGAAAAACAUCCGUGUCUCCAAUAGUGUUUGACUUCUCCAAACCCUUCCCUUUACAUUCUCGCAAGUUGCAUGCUUUACUUUCCACUGCCAAUAUACUCUUUGCAUGCUUGCUUGAAUUGUGUGAUGAUUACUUGACUUGUCCUAAAAUAGCUAAAAUCUGCCAAGAACUAAAAUUGGGAAAAGGUUAAGUUUUUAUUUGGUCAAGUAUUCUAAUCACCCCCCCUCUAGACAUACUUUCGAUCCUACACUCACUCAACACUUAUAGAGCACUAAAUUUGAAAGAAAAAUAAUGAAACAUUUACCACUAACAAGUCUUUCCUUAAUUACAUUAUAUUAGUUGAACCGCACAAACACAUCAAAAUGUUAAGAAAAAGGGAAAAUAUGAGUCAAGAAAAGGAAGAAGGGGGACCUGCAGGGCUGACUUUCAACUUUGGAGAUUGUUGAUGCUGUGGGGGAUGAUGACGACGUGCCCGGCUACCUCAAGCGAGAAUACAAACAAUGUGUCUGCCUUGCGCACUUGGGGAAGACAAUGUCGCCGGCAUCCUAAUACUCAAGCUAGAUCCAAGCGGACUACAGGAGACGAAAUCCACGCCCAAAUCAACUGUACGGACGCCUACAAUAACGGCACUUUGCAGAUCAAUGAUCAUGCCUCCUCCUAGCUACGGUUGAUCUUUUGGCCCUACAAUCCAUCACCAUUCAAAAUCCAAGGAGACAGAAGCAUAUGAGGAACCAUACCAGCCGCCGUCGACGGGUACACUAUAGAAGCACCAUGGGAGCUAUUCGGCAGCAGCAAUUUUGGAGUGACCAGAGAGAUU